rnacentral:rRNA from 1 species
GGGGGAUAUUGGACAAUGGGGGCAACCCUGAUCCAGCGACGCCGCGUGAGGGAAGAAGGUUUUAGGAUUGUAAACCUCUGUCUUCAGGGACGAAAAAAGGACGGUACCUGAGGAGGAAGCUCCGGCUAACUACGUGCCAGCAGCCGCGGUAAUACGUAGGGAGCGAGCGUUGUCCGGAAUUACUGGGUGUAAAGGGAGCGUAGGCGGGAUCGCAAGUCAGAUGUGAAAACUAUGGGCUUAACCCAUAAACUGCAUUUGAAACUGUGGUUCUUGAGUGAAGUAGAGGUAAGCGGAAUUCCUAGUGUAGCGGUGAAAUGCGUAGAUAUUAGGAGGAACAUCAGUGGCGAAGGCGGCUUACUGGGCUUUAACUGACGCUGAGGCUCGAAAGCGUGGGGAGCAAACAGGAUUAGAUACCCUGGUAGUCCACGCCGUAAACGAUGAUUACUAGGUGUGGGGGGACUGACCCCUUCCGUGCCGCAGCAAACGCAAUAAGUAAUCCACCUGGGGAGUACGACCGCAAGGUUGAAACUCAAAGGAAUUGACGGGGGCCCGCACAAGCAGUGGAGUAUGUGGAUUAAUUCGAAGCAACGCGAAGAACCUUACCAGGUCUUGACAUCGUAUGCAUAGCUCAGAGAUGAGUGAAAUCUCUUCGGAGACAUAUAGACAGGUGGUGCAUGGUUGUCGUCAGCUCGUGUCGUGAGAUGUUGGGUUAAGUCCCGCAACGAGCGCAACCCUUACUGUUAGUUGCUACGCAAGAGCACUCUAGCAGGACUGCCGUUGACAAAACGGAGGAAGGUGGGGAUGACGUCAAAUCAUCAUGCCCCUUAUGACCUGGGCCUCACACGUACUACAAUGGCUGUAAACAGAGGGAAGCAAAGCCGCGAGGUAGAGCGAACCCCUAAAAGCAGUCUUAGUUCGGAUUGUAGGCUGCAACCCGCCUACAUGAAGUCGGAAUUGCUAGUAAUCGCAGAUCAGCAUGCUGCGGUGAAUACGUUCCCG